ACAACUUGGCAGUGUAACGUGAUAUUGAGGAUUGUGGGUCUUCACUUUGUAUUUCUUAGGAUUCCUUCAGAUAUUCAUUGCUUUUGUGGUUCCCUGUGAUUUUUAGCAAUACAUAUUUAUUUCUGUUAACUUUUUUUCACAACAUAAAGGCCCAUAAUUAGAGGUACAUUUUCAUACAUAUAGAUUGGGUAAUGAUCAAAUCAGGGUACUUAGGAUCUCUAUUUGCUCAUCCAGGCAUUUUUUUUGUGUGUGGGGAGAACAUUCAAAAUUCUCCCUUCUUGCUCUAGAAAAAUAUGAUAUUGUUAACUCCAGUCACCAGGCUGAAGAGGAGAACUUCAGAUUUAUUCCUUUAAUGUUAAGAUAACUUCGUUUCCAUAAUCAAUCCUUCCCCAUUCCCCCUCUAUCUCCCAAACUCUGGUAACCAAUAUUGUGCUUUCUACUUCAUUAAGAUAAACAUCUUAAGAUUUCACAUGAGUGGUAUCAUGCCGUGUUUGUCUUUCUAGGCCUAGCUCAUUACAUUUAACAUAAUAUUUUCCAGGCUCAUCUGUGUUGCUCUAAAUGACAGUUUCAUUAUUUUGAUGGCUGAAGAAUAUUUUCUAGUGUAUGUAUAUGAGAGUUUCUUGAUCUCUUUAUCUGUGGAUGAACAGCUACUUUGAAACAUAUGAUACAUUUGUGUUAAGGCUAGUCACCCUGCUGUGGAAUAGAAGACCAGAAUUGGUCACUCUCAUCUGAGAGUAACUUUGUACCCCAUCACUGAUUCCUUCUGAGACCGCCUCCACUUCCCCAGCAGCCUCUGGUUUCUUCACGUGGCUGCAGAUGGCAGGAUUUCCCAAAGGUUUAUGGCUGAAACAUAUUCUGUGGUGUAUCUGUACAGCAGUUUCCUCAUCCCUGCAGCUGUGUUUGAACAGGUCAUUUACCAUGCUGUCCUCCAGGUUCAACAGUAUGGCUCUAAAUGAUGAAAUUUCACUUUGAUUUUCUGGCUGAAGACUAUUCUGUUUGUGUACAUCCACCACAGUUACUUUAUCCCUUCAUCUGUGGAUGGGCAGGAAACUCCAAACUGUCCAAGGAGAUAGUUCUGUUGUGAUUACUUCAUUGAGAAAUUUAACUUAGGAGCAGUUGAAAGGAAUGCAAGUUGCUGGAAAAUCAGAAUGAAGAGUGCAAAAUGACCAAGCUACAAUGUAUUGUCAUUAUUCACCCUGAUGUGAAAAAGGCAGUGAAUUUAAUAGAAAAUAACUUUGCAGAGUAAAAUCUCAGGUGUGUUUUUUUAGUGCCACAGUCUUGGAUGAUGCGUUCCUAGAAGCUGUCAACAUCUCUUCUUAAUUGGAGAAAGUGUUAAGCCCCAAAGUAGCUGGAGCAGUACAUCUUCAGUUUUUGACAAGAAAGCAGGAACUUGAUCACUUUGAGUGCUAUUCAUUAGUUUCUGCUUUCAUUGAGAAUGCAACAAAAGCCAACUAGGCUGCUGCUAACUCCUUGCUGGACAUCUUCUGGCACUGUCACAGGAACUGUGAUCUCACUGGACAAUUAACUAGGGAGCCUUUAAUCUUGAAUGACGGCUGCACAAAUGAUCUUCAAAGCAUUUUAGCCACCAGAGGAAUUCUCUUCAAACACCCAAAAUCCAUCAGUAUCUUGAAUCAUGCUGGAUUUUGAAUAAUUCUUAACAAGCCGUGUAAAGGGGGCUUCUGGCCUUGAAAUAGUGAUUUUUUUUACAGAAAGGAGAAUGCAGGAUGGUCAGACUACCAUGCAGUGUUAAAUUUGAUUUCAAGAAAUUACAGGAAAACUUUCCAAUGUUCCGUCUCACAGAAUUUAUUUUUACAAAGAAUUCCAAGAUAAGUUUAGUUUUAUGGAAGAUUUUUAUGUGGUUUUUACUCACUCUUCAUCUCAGACAUCAACAGAUGAUUAUGUCACUUAUUUAGCUAGUAAAUUUAUUAAUAUAAAACUCAGAGACAUUCCAAUAUCCACAUUGCUUACACCAUUAGGCAUAGAUUCAAUGUCAGCUAUGACAAUUGAAAAUAAGCUGUUUUAUGAUUUAAAGGUUUAAAUUUCUCCAACCAAACUACUUGAUCCAGAUGCAGCACUGCAAAUGUUAAUAUCUGUUCUGGAAAAACAAUCAAAUAAGACUUAAGAGGAAAAGGAAUGGCCACAAUCCACCUGAAAAUUUUUUUUUUAAAAGUGUGCAGCCUACUAAAUCAGAAUGAAAACAGAAGUACAAGAUUAUAAACAAAUGCAAUCAAACUUUUCUUAAGCUUAUCUAAAGUUAUUUUAUCUGAAAAUUUCAAGCAACUUUGUUCAACAUUAAAUUGACCACCUAAACUAACAAGUCUUUUGAAUUUAUGUAUGGUAGUAAACAUUAUCUCUAUUAACUUUAUUAUCUAAGGCUAAACCUAAAAUUUUUAAGCAAAAUUAGAAAAAGUCUUCACUUAUCAAAAAAUAAAGUUUAUUACAUUUAGUAUUUUCCCAAUAAAAUUGGUCAUUCUUGGUUUUUUAUUUGGAGAAUCUGUGCAAAAUUUCACUAAAAAUAAAUUAGCACUAGAAAUUAUUUCUAAAUACCAAAUAAAUGAAGAAUGGUUUCACAAAGAAAAAAAAGAAAACUUGCUUAAUUAGCAGAGUAUCAUCUCUGUGAUUUUUGUGAUUAUUUGAUCAGUGUCCUGAGAUGGAUACAAAGGCAAGUAAUGACAAAAUUAAAAUAAGCAUGCAGAUUUUUUAAAAUUAAGUGCCAAAAAAUAAUGGGUCAUGCAAAGCCCUUAAAAACAUUGUGGCCUAAUUCUAAAGUUUUUUGCUAACUAUGCUACAUCACACCCAACAUUAGUUAAGUGCUCAUUCUGUGACAGGUAGUAUAUUAUGUUUUAGCAAACUACACAAGACCCCUAUGUGAUAAUAUGCUUCAGGGUUGUAAGGUUGGGUGCAUUUACUAGUCUUGAAUUUUCUGGGAGUAUACAAACCCAAUAUUAGUCUAGAUGCCCAAAAAUCUAUUUAGACAUCACAGUAGAAUGGAGAGUAAUCUUGACCACAGGAGGCUGUGUUGUGGCAUUUAUUUUGAAAUUAUUUUUUCUUGAUUUAUUUGCCUUUUAAUUGUUUUGUGAGUUUUAUAAUGUACAGAAUAUUUUUAAAUUAUUAUAUAUAUAAACUGAUUAGUCUUCAUUUUAAACUUAUGCCUCUGGGGUCUUGGAUUUCUCCUAACAAUAUUAUACACAUAUUUGCAAUAAUUUCUCUCAUACUGCUUUUAACUCAUUUAAUUUUUCAACUUUUUAAGAAUAACAAAAGUGAUAUUAAUUGUAAAAACGCUGAAGUGACAUAUGAAUUUAUGCAGUGCAUAUGUAUUUUUUAUUUUACCAAUGUGAUGGGAGAAAUGCUGUCUUAUAUUUUAACAUACAUUUUGACUAUUACACAGAUGAAGCAACUUUUCAUUUGUUAAUACAUAAUGCAUACUUUUUCUUCUGUGCAAUUCCUCUUUAUAUUCUUUGCUCAUUUUCCCACUGGGAUUUGCAAGUUCUUUAUUAUUUGAUAAUCUGUAUACAUUCUGAAUAUCCAUUUUUUGUUAUAUAUACCAUGUAAAUAUUUUCUUCUAAUUUGUUAUUUAUCUUUUAAUGGUAUUUAUCAAUUGUUUGCUAAAAAUGAGUUUGUUUAGUUAGUAAAAUUUGUCUAUCUUUUACUUCAUGAUAUUUGUAUUUCAUGUCAUGAGGAAAAGGCAUGAAUAUUUUAAAAACUUCCUUGUAGUAUUAAUGUUAUUUUUUAUUUCAUUCCUUAUUUGAAAUUUAUUGUUUAUUUCUUCAAAUUCCAAAUAAUAACCAACUUUCUCAAAGCAAUGCUUCUUUCUACUGAUUUCAAACGUUACAUUUGUCUUCUCUGAAGUUAUUGUCUAUUUGAUACCUGACUGUCACACUACUGCUGUGGAUGUGCUUCGUACCAUCACCGUACUGCAGGGUUAUAAGAUUAUCUGAUAGCCAAUAGAAGCAGACCUCUACUCACUGUCGUUCUUUUUUCUUUUGGAGAAUAAAGUUAUUUUUAUCUGGGUUGUCAAUUUUUUUUUUUCUUUUUGAGAUGAAGCCUUGCUCUCUCACCCAGGCUAGAGUGCAGUGGCGUGAUCUUGGCUCACUGCAACCUCUGCCUCCCGGGUUCAAUUGAUUCUCCUGCCUCAGCCUCCUGAGUAGCCAGGAUUACAGGCAUCCAUUACCACGCCUGGCUAAUUUUUUUAUUUUUAGUAGAGACAGGGCUUCACCAUCUUGGCCAGGCUGGUCUUGAACUCCUGACCUCGUGUUGCACCCACCUCUGAUUCUCAAAGUCGUGGGAUUACAGGCGUGAGCCACCACACCUAGCUGGGUUCUCAGUUUUGUAUAAACUUUAAAGAAGAUUAUCAAAUCACAUACCAAUUACCAUCUGAUUGAAAUUUCAGUGUUCUUAUAUAUAAGUUUCGAGACUAAAGCCAUCUCUAUUCUUUCAGCAGUUCAGAUGUUUAUCUUUCAAUUCAAAAUGUAUUCUAAAUUUUAUUUUGAUGUUUCUUUGUGAAUUAUUUAGAAGUUUGUUGUUUGAUUUCCAAACACUUGUGUGUUUACUAAGUAUCUUAUUGAUACUCAUUCUUUUCUUUUUGAAUUUAUGUUUUAGGUUCGGGGGUACAUGUGCAGCUUUGUUAUGUAGGUAAAUUGCAUGUUGCCGGGGUUUCAUGGAAAAAAUAACUUAGUCACUGCGGUAGUGAGCAUAGUACCUGAUAGGCAUAAGUAAUUUUUCAGUCCUCACCGAUUUUCCACCCUCUACCCUCACACAGUCCUUGGUAUCUAUUAUUCCCUGUUUUGGACCAUGUGGAGCCAGUGUUUAUCUCUCACUUAUAAGUGAUAAUAUAUGCUUUCUUUUUCUGUUUUUGUGUUAAUUUGCUUAAUUUGUGGGGUGUAGCCUCCAGCUACAUCCAUUUUGUUGCAAAAGCCAUAAUUUUAUUGUUUUUUUGUUGCUACACAGUAUUUCAUGGUGUAUAUGUACCAAGUUUUUUUCUUUUUGAGAUAGAGUCUCACUCUGACACCCAGGCUGGAGUGCUGUGGCAUAAUCUGGGCCCACUGCAACCUUCACCUCCCAGGUUCAAGCUAUUCUGCCACCUCAGCUUCCCAAGCUGGGUCUACAGGCAUGCACCACUACACCUGGCUAAUUUUUGUAUUUUUAGUAGAGAUGGUGUUUCACCAUGUUGGCCAGGCUUUUCUCAAAUUCCUCAUAUCAAAUGAUCCACCCAUCUCGGCCUCCCAAAGUGCUGGGAAUACAGGCGUGAGCAACCACGUCAGGCGGUACACAUUUUUUUUUUUCUAGUCCACUACUGAUGAGCCUCUAGGUUGGUUCCAUGUUUUUGCUACUGUGAAUAGUGCUGUGAUAAUCAUACAGGUACAUGUGUCAUUUGGUAGAACAAUUUAUAUUUCUUUGUGUAUGUACCCAGUAAUGACAUUGCUGUGCCAAAUGGUGGUUCUGUUUAAGUUUUUUGAGAAAUCUUCAAACUGCUUUAUACAAUGGCUGAAUUAAUUUACAUUCCAAACAGAAGUGUAUAAGAUUUCCCUUUUCUCUGCAACCUCAGCAACAUCUGUUAUUUUGUGACUUUUUAUUAGUAGCCAUUGUGAUUAGUAUGAAAUGGUAUCUCAUUGUGGUUUUCAUUUGCAUUUCUCUAACGAUUAGUGAUUUUUAAAAUGGAGCAUUUUUUCGCAUUCUUGUUGACAGCAUGUAUGUCCUUUUUGAGAAGUGUCUGUUCUUGUCCUUUGCCCAUUUUUCAAUGAGGUUGUUUAGUUUUUGUUUAAAAAUUUUUUUAAGUUCCUUACAGGUUCUGGAUAUGAGACCUUUGUCAGAUCCAUAGUUUGCAAAUAUUUUCUCCCAUUUUGUUGGUUGUAUGUUUACUCUGCUGAUAGUUUCUUUUGUUGAACAUAAUCUCCUUAGUAUACUUAGGUCCCACUUGUCUAUUGAUGUUUUUGUUGCAAUAGCUAUUGGAAACUUGAUCAUAAAAUCCUUGUUAUUGCCUAUGUCCAGAAUAUUAUGUUCUGGGCUUUUGUCUAGGGUUUUUAGUUUUAGGUUUUACAUUUAGGUCUUUAAUCCAUCUUAAGUUGAUUUUUUUAAUAUGUUGGAAGGAAGUUGUUCAUUUUAAAUCUUCUGAAUAUGGCUAUCCAGUUAUCCUAGUACCAUUCAUUGAAUAGGGAGUCCGUUCCCAUUGCUUCUAAUUAUAGACUUUGUCAAAGAUCAGUUGGUUGUAGGAGUGCAGCCUACAACCUUCUCUAAUCUGUUCCAUUGGCUUUUGUGUCAUGGUUUUUGUACCAGACCUAUGAUGUUUUGGUUAAUAUAUCCUUGGAGUAUAGUUUGUGAACCCCCAAAAUCUGAGAUAGGUCUCAGUUAAUUUACAAAGUUGACAUUGCCCAGCUAGCCAUAUGUAAAAAGCUGAAACUGGAUCCUUUCCUUACUCCUUAUACAAAAAUUAAUUCAAGUUGGAUUAAAGACUUAAAUGUUAGACCCCAAACCAUAAAAACCCUAGAAGAAAACCUAGGCAAUACCAUUCGGGACAUAGGCCUAGGCAAGGACUUCAUGUCUAAAAACACCAAAAGCAGUGGCAACAAAAGCAAAAAUUGGCAAAUGGGAUCUAAUUAAAGAGCUUCUGCACAGCAAAAGAAACCAUCAUCAGAGUGAACAGUCAACCUACAGAAUGGGAGGAAAUUUUUGCAAUCUCCUCAUCUGACAAAGGGCUAAUAUCCAGAAUCUAUAAUGAACUCAAAUUUACCAGAAAAAAAUGAACAACCCCAUCAACAAGUGGGCAAAGGAUAUGAACAGACACUUCUCAAAAGAAGACAUUUAUGCAGCCAAAAGACACAUGAAAAAAUGCUCAUCAUCACUGGCUGUCAGAGAAAUGCAAAUCAAAACCACAAUGAGAUACCAUCUUACACCAGUUAGAAUGGCGAUCACUAAAAAGUCAGGAAACAACAGGUGCUGGAGAGGAUGUGGAGAAAUAGGAACACUUUUACACUGUCAGUGGGACUGUAAACUAGUUGAACCAUUGUGGAAGUCAGUGUGGCGAUUCCUCAGGGAUCUAGAACUAGAAAUGCCAUUUGACCCAGCCAUCCCAUUACUGGGUAUAUACCCAAAGGAUUAUAAAUCAUUCUGCUAAAGAGACACAUGCACACGUAUGUUUAUUGUGGCACUAUUCACAAUAGCAAAGACUUGGAACCAACCCAAAUGUCCAACAAUGAUAGACUGGAUUAAGAAAAUGUGGCACAUAUACACCAUGGAAUACUAUGCAGCCAUAAAAUUGAUGAGUUCAUGUCCUUUGUAGGGACUUGUAUGAAGCUGGAAACCAUCAUUCUCAGCAAACUAUCACAAGGACAAAAAACCAAACACCACAUGUUCUCACUCAUAGGUGGGAAUUGAACAAAGAGAACACUUGGACACAGGAAGGAGA